AAUAAUUUGCUUUUAGAAUUUGUCUAGUAGGUUUCUUCAAAAGAAGAAGUCCUC
rnacentral:snRNA from 1 species